CUCCACCCAAUCCCUAACCUUAGCAGCUCCCGACACCGCGGCCAUCUCCUUCGCCCAGCCCGACAGACCGCCGCCGCCCACUUCCACGGUGUCGUCACCGUCGUCCUCGCGUGCACACGGCAAGAGGAGCGCCCCCACCCUCUCCUAUCCUCCUCCCCUCAUCACGAUCCAGGACAAGGAGGGCCACCGUGGCGAGCAGGUCAGGCGGCGCAUCCAGAUUGCUGAGGAGCCGCCCGCAAGGUCAUCCAUGGCUCGACCGAACAGAGCAGGUGAGGAGGGAGAUGCUGGUUCCUCUUUCCCGCUGCUUAUCUAGGUCUAUUUAUCGUGAUUCGUAGGGAUCUGGUUAGGUUUGCUAACUUUAUCCUCAGCAUGGUCCGGUUGCUGCGGAUUGGUGAGCUAUAGAAGGUACCUCGUGUGCCUCCCGUACCAGUGGAUUUGAUCUACCUUGAAUCUUUUUGCAUUUGGAUCCUUUUGCAUCUCCUCUUCCUCCUUUGGUUUCUUCUUCUUGCCUCUUCUGUUCCUUUGGAUGUUUCAUGGGCUAUUUUGGCUGCUUCCUGGGUGUUCAUUUUCUUCUCUUGCUUCUUUCAUUUUUAUGUGAUUCCUCUUCACCUAAUGACAUUGUAUUGUUUAUGUCCUGCCUAAUUUGUUUUGCAGGUACUAUGCUUGUCGUGGAUUGCUGCCUCACGUGUGCUGGAUGCUUCUUCCCUUUAUCCUUGGUGUGCAAGACAUGUUCUUUCUAAAAGUGAUGCCCACUAAUGUGUUUGAUACAUCGACUUUGACAUGGUCUCCCCUUUUUAUCCAGUUUGAGGUAUUCCAGUGAUCUUAUCCUGUUAUCUUUCUUAUAUGAUUCAUAUCCCUGUGUUCAUAAGUUUUCUUCUACAGGUAUCGAAGUAAUUUUAUCUUGAGAAAAGAGAGCUUUCCUCCUUAUUAGGUCGCUUUAGAGGGUAAGUAAGCUGUUCAUGAUAGCUCAAUUAUUAGUUUCUCUUCUAUGGUUUCUUAGUAGUUAGCAGUGCUUAGUAGUAUCUCAAACACUAUAUAAAGUUGAAAUCCUAACAUUUUACUAGAUGCAACUAGACAGUGGAUGUUGCUAGGUCAACAUAGAGCAGAGAAAAAUGCAUCUUCUACGGCACAUCACAUUAUGCCUCUUCCAUAGGGAAGUUUCCAAUGUUUAUUCGCAAAUCUCACUCAUAGAUACGUGGCCCCAUUUUUGUGUUGAAGGUUAUAUGAGCUGAUAACGACAUCUUCUCAUCUAAAAUUUAAAAUAAAUGGGAUUGAUUGUCUAUGGUGAAACAUGAGGAUUGCUCAUGCCUUUUUGCAAAACUAAUUCUGGACCUUGUCAUCGUUUUGGCAAUUUGGAUAUAGAUGUGCUUUCUUUCAGGUUAGUAUCCAGGACAUAAUUGGGCUUAACUAGGACAUACUUGAUUCUCUGUUGGGCUUCACCAGUUGGGCUUAACUAGGACAUAAUUGAUUCUCUGUUGGUAAAAAGAAAAAAAGAUUAUCUGGUUGGAGAAAACCUAUCUUUUGCUUUGUUUGCUUCUGAAUUUUAGUAACCUGUUUUCAUUUUAUUGUUUUCAGGUUAGUACGGGAGUUCCUACCAAGACUGACUUAUGGAAGUUAUGCUAGCUCCACCAGUUGGGCCUUCUGUACAAAACUAGACUCAAGAUAAUUUAUUUUGGUGCUUGCGAUAAAUAUUAGAUAGAGGGGUGAUGCACACAUACUUCAUCCAGUCUAUCUGUUCAUGUAUGUUAAUUAACUAAUUAGACAAAAAUAACUCUGUCUCCAUGGUGUUUGUGAUGAUGCUACCAAUUUACUAAACACUAAAAUAUUGGGUUGUG
rnacentral:lncRNA from 1 species